rnacentral:rRNA from 1 species
UUGAGGCGUAAAAUUUGAUUAAAAUAAUUUACUUGAGUAUUACGAGCUGUAUGAAGAAUCCUUCAUUACAAGGACCUUAAAACUCAAAAGACUUGGCGGUGUCUUAAGUCCUUCUAGGGGAACCUGUCCUGUAAUCGAUAGUCCACGAUUUAUCUUUCCUUUUCUUGAAAAUAUCCAGCUUGUAUACCGUCGUCGUCAGAUUACCUUUAAGAGUUAAAUAAGUUAUCGGAAGGAAAUUUGCAGAUUAAUUUUUAUUUUAUUUUCGGAGUAAAAUUUAAAUAAGUAUUAGUAAGGUAGUUUUCUGGAUGUCAGAUCAAGGUGCAGCUGAUGAAAAGGUAGAGAUGGGUUACAAUAAUUAUUUAUUAUUACGAAUUUCUUAUUGAAAAUUAUAAGAAUUGAAGGCGGACUUAGAAGUAAUUGGUUAAAAUAGAAAGUUUCGGUGAAAAUGGCACUAAGAUGUG